UGAAACAACUCAAGCACCUCAAGUGCGAGGUCUCCCGGGUUAGGAUAUACGUCGCAGAAAAAUGGAGGAGCUUAUGCUAGAGAGGGGGAGACUACGCGUGGUUGCCACAAUCGACACAGUUCAGUAUUAGUUGUAUGCGCACGUAUUGAUGCUCAGUUUACUCCUGUGUGCGCGAGGCAGGUUGGACUGUAUAUUGCCAAAAGUUUGCGGUCUGACUCAAGUGUUCAGAUCAACGCGAUCCUUGCGCUCAGCCUGAGAAAUUUUGCCACUGCCGGUCUCGGUCCCGCUACCUUAAUCCGCGAGGGAGACCAACAGCUGCGUUAUUUCCUUGAUUAUGGGCCACGUUUCAAGGAUUCGCAAGUUAAAUGUGAGCUGGACAUAGAAGAAAUAGUCGUAAAGAAUAUAGGAAUGGGCGCCGUCUGGACUAUAGCUGCCCUCCUCAUUUCUAGGCUCAUAAAACUUCAUGACCUCGUUCCCAGUACAAGAAUGAGUCUAGAGAUGUUUGCCAGAAAUUCACAAAUCACGUGAGAGCAUUCGUCUUAAUUGUCCUAAAAAUGUGACUGGCAAAAAUAUCGAGGAUUGCAUGUGAAUAGAAGGGCCGGUGGGAUAUUGAUUUCCAAAGGAGCCGGAGUUGUCUACAAACGAUGGGAUGUGAAGCAAUAUAAUCACUUUCUUCCGGUAUUUCAAGUCAUGUUGAGAAGGCGAUGCCAACGUGGAAAAUUGUCCAGGUUUCCGCAGUCGUGCUGCUUCAUCGACAGGCUCUUGUGCUGACAAGCGAAAUAACAAUAACAAACCCCUGGCUUACGGUAACAUCCUUAUCUCAGAUGUCAGAGGUCGUGGGUUCGAAUCUCGGUUAAAAAAAAAAAUGUACAGUAAAUUUGAUAGAACUGCGAUUUCAGGUUUUCCUGACGUUUACGUUUUAAACAGUAAUUUUGACGAAACUUGUUAUUGACUUUUUUCUGAAUUUUUCUGUUUGUGGGGUUCCAUUUAGUGAUCAUAAAAAACUGUAUAAAAUCGAUGCAGUGGGGGUCACUUUAUAUCUAGAGACCCGAUUGAAUACAGAUUUUUUGAUUCAUCAAACAUCCCAAUAAAUAUUUUUUUCUCAACUAACAAUUUAGUUCCCUAGAGUUUGAGCAACCCGGCCAGAUUGUUAUUUGCAAAUACUGUUCUUUCAAAUAAAUAAUUCACUACUGUACAUAUCAGUUAAUUGUUACUUUCAAAUAUCCAAUUAUUCUUUUGAAUCUUUUCUCUUUUGAGGAUAUAUUAGUUUUAAUGGAAAUUUUUCAAACUUAACAUUGCCUCUAAUACCCGUCAAUAUCUGUGAUUAUUAGUCCAUCAAAAAAUCCUGAAGCUGUGUAUGUAAUUUUAGAAAAUGUUCUAUUCAAAAUAUUGUCAGUGAUUGCAAUAUUUGAUGAAAUAGCGAAAAUAUACCAAAAUCUGCGAAUCCAGUAAAUUCCUGAUCAUUUGGACUUUUCCAACAUAAGAACUACUUCAAUUUUAUUGACAAAACAAACCCUGGACACGACUGAAUUUAUUCAUUAGUGAGAUUCGAUCCAUAAUUGCAGAAAGUAAUGACGAAAGUGCCUCAUAAGAAAAAUAUUUUUAUAGAAGUAAAAAAUCAUUUUUCCACUGACUUACUAUUAUUAAUAAUUUUAUUUUGUAACGUUCCUGUCUCCACGUUCCAAAUGUUCUGUGCAUUUAUAAAAGUCACUUCUGUGAUAAUUCAUUAUUACUAAAACAUGUCAUGGUUAUGCAUAAUGAUAAAGAAGUUUUCCGCUGUUCUGAAAACUGGUGCAUCAGAACUUCAGUCUUUUCCGAUAGUUUGCAUAACACAGACAUAUAUUUCACGUUAUGCAAAAAUCCCACAAUUACAUAUCACCGUCUACGGAUGAGGUCAAAUGUUCUAACGACACACUCAAUAAUCAUUGGAGUCUAAUUAAUUUCAAUUUUAAUUCUACUGAAGUACCGACCGUACCGUGAAAAAGGUAGUAUCCCAACACACAUGAAAUCAUUGAUGCGAAAUUACCGAAAUGCGAGUUUUUUUUAUUAUAAAAACCUACAAUUAGGAGUUGAAUGGCUGGAAAAUGAUCCUCGGCCUUCUGCGAAUCACAAACUAUUCAUAAUUAAAUAGAAUAAUGCUCUUGAAUAGUUAUACACAUCAUCUUUGGCAGCAUUGUCAAACAUGAUGUGCGUGAUCCAGUACCAGAGCACGAACCAGUACACGAACGAUGUCAUUUCCCGUGUGUAUUUAACAGAACAAAUCAUUGUAUUUCAGUUACAACUCCCCAGGUAGAAAUAUGAGUUGGAUUUACAAGGUCGAACAUUCCGGCUAGAUAAAUCUUGUCAGAAUAGCAAAUGGCUGCUCGUUGUAAAUCGCCCUCUUCUCAACAUAUGCAAUGUAACUAUUGAGAUGUAUCGUUAGCUAAAUAUAAGCCUAAAUAAAAAAAACUGUAUCCCAGAUCGAUACCGCUCCCCGCAAGCCCUAUUUUAAUUGAAUAAGUUAGGGAACACUAGGUUUACUAGUCAGUCGUAUUUGAAGCGAAUAUUUUUGUAUACGAAAAAGAAAUUUUGGAUAAAAAUUAGACUAGAGGUCGAAACGUGGGACGAAAUGAUAGUAAACCACUUUAUGGGUCAAUUAUUGGUGGAAAAUAUAGACUUGAGAGGGUAAUUUUUCCGAUAAAAUUAACAUUUGUCCCUCGUUUCACCCCCUGGAGGUCAAAUUUUCACCUAAAAUUUCUUUUCGUGUUAUUUACAAGUUCGAAAUUUCUCAAGUCAUAUUUAAUAGUCCAAAGUUCUAGAAGUGCUCCAGAAGCCUUCCAAAACUCCAUGGGGUAUGCGGAUGAAAUAUAUUAUUACUUAUAAAUGA